AAAGUCCUUGUUGGGCAAGGCCUAAACCAGCCACACAUAUCGAGUGUUGCGCCGAAACUGGUAACAGCAAUGAAGUGUACACAGAGAACCAUAUAGGCCAUAAGGAGGACCAUAACUCCUGAAGCACAUUCAGCCUCGUUAACGUGUGUUCGCAAACGGACAAAGUGCAGGUAACCACGUGUUUAACGUCACGGAAGUCAAUAUAAAGGAAUCAUUAAAGGUGAGACUCCGGAGGCCUGUCGGGGUCAGAGAACA
rnacentral:ncRNA from 1 species